rnacentral:ncRNA from 2 species
CGAUCCGAGGAGCGUUGCAGCACCGCACGGUGUGAGGCUCGGAACCUACAGCAACGACGCUCACCCACU